GUACUCGCUUCGGCGGUACAUAUACUGAAAUUGGAAUGAUACAGAGUAGAUUAGUAUGGCCCCUGCGCAAGGAUGACACGCAAAAUCGUGAAGCUUUCCACAAUUAA
rnacentral:snRNA from 1 species